UACGUAGGGUGCAAGCGUUGUCCGGAAUUAUUGGGCGUAAAGAGCUCGUAGGCGGUCUGUCGCGUCGGCUGUGAAAACCCGAGGCUCAACCUCGGGCCUGCAGUCGAUACGGGCAAACUAGAGUACUGCAGGGGAGACUGGAAUUCCUGGUGUAGCGGUGAAAUGCGCAGAUAUCAGGAAGAACACCUAUGGCGAAGGCAGCACUCUGGGACGGUACUGACGCUGAGACGCGAAAGCGUGGGGAGCGAACAGG
rnacentral:rRNA from 1 species